ensembl:lncRNA
CCCCUUUGAAACCUCCAACUGUGGCAUCCUGCUUUACCUGCUGAGCUGGAGGAGCCUCUGCUAUCAGGUAUCUUCCCCCGGUCCAGCUCAGGUCUCCUCCCCUUUGAUCGGCCGAUGGGGAUCCUUCCAUUUCUCACGGUAAGCAGUUCUGGCAGCUCAGCCCCGUGCACCUCAGCUCGCUCCCGAUCCUAUUACUGCUUUCCAAUAUCCUCUGCAGGAAUGGGGUCACCAGCACUAAGGCUGGCGCUUUCCGUGAGGGAAGGAUGGAGCCCUUCGGAGUCACAUUGAGUGAAAUAAAUAAAACGCAGCAGCAAAGACAAAUAGUUUCCAGGCAUUGUGUUGGCAUUUUGGCCUAAUGACUGAUUAAUCUGAACCGGAGUCUCAUUACAGAUUCACGGAUCGAUGGGAUCGGAUCGUUAGCUCCGGCACCCCCUCCUGCAAUCAGCAGUGCAGGCGGCAGCGCUGCCGGGGGAUGGAUUAAAGGCUCAGCUGGAGCAGGGAGCCGGCAGCAGGAGGGAAAGCAGGGAGAGCAGGGUUAGGAAAGGCAUCGUCACCGUGCUGAGGGCCAACAAAAUGGCCAUGCUGCGGUCUGGUCCCAGCACGGAUUUGCUCUGCAGACGCAUCUUUCAGCCAUGAGGGACACGGAAAGCAUCUUUCAGCCAUGAGGGACACCCAACAGGGACAGCCCCGGGGGAUGGCACCUGUAUCCCAGCCACGGUGAGCGAAAAACCCCAAUGGAGGUAUAGGCGGAAACACCACCCAUCACCCUGCAGACCCCCAGGAGGAGACCCCGCAGGAAACCAGAAUUUUCCAAGCAGCCCCACCCCCGGCAGCACUGGGCUUUCCUAGCGCGUUUGAGGACCCAGAGGAGCAGUCGGGCUCCUGCACGCUCCCAGGGGCUGAGAGCAGGAGGCACGAGGGUGACACGAGGAUGAGCCUUCCACCAGCACCACAGCACAGGGCGGUGCCAAGUGACCCAUCCCUGGGUGAGAGCAGCAAUAACAAGAGCAGGUUUCCAGAGCAAGGAGGUCUGACCCGACCCCGAAGGCGAUGUGCUUCCCAUGCAGCCGUUAAUCCCUCCCACUCCCACCACUGCCUAACGCCAGAUGGCGCUAAGAAUUUUUCUGAACCGACUCGUAUUCAUAAAUACUGCCCUCCAAUCCCUCUCGCAAGACAGAACCAACCCUAAUUAGAAUGGUGAGCCCUCACCAUCUUUUCCUCAUCAUGCAGUUCCCAUAAAACUGCUCCAGAAGAGGAAGGCUUUGGCCAACCCCUCCCCCGGCAAGCAACGGGGAGUGUUCCCAAACGUCUGUCACAAUCAGAAUAAAGAGAAACUCCAUUGGAUUAUAGGGCUUGGGGGCUGAUUUCCAAGAAAAAGCCAAAGAGCUCAGAGUCAAGCAAUUGGCAUGGGGUUCUUGGGCACCUCCAGGGGCUGGGAGCACGGCUGGGUGCUGCUGUACAGUCAAUGGCCUGGGGCCAACCAUGGAUUCCUUUUGUCAAGCAGCC